UACGUAGGGCGCGAGCGUUGUCCGGAAUUAUUGGGCGUAAAGAGCUCGUAGGCGGUUUGUUGCGUCGGCUGUGAAAUCCCGAGGCUCAACCUCGGGUCUGCAGUCGAUACGAGCAAACUAGAGUGUUGCAGGGGAGACUGGAAUUCCUGGUGUAGCGGUGAAAUGCGCAGAUAUCAGGAGGAACACCGGUGGCGAAGGCGGGUCUCUGGGCAACAACUGACGCUGAGGAGCGAAAGCGUGGGGAGCGAACAGG
rnacentral:rRNA from 1 species